rnacentral:lncRNA from 1 species
GGCUGCACACAAAGGUUGAGGUACGUCUAAAAUUCCUUAUGAAACUCUGCAAAAACAUUCCUCUCAAACCUUAGCCACCUCCUCUCUCUCUCUCUCUCUCUCUUUUACAUAAGGCUCCAGCCGCUCGGUUUACACCUUAAGCACAUCUCCAUACCCUAUUAGCUAUUGUUUUAUAUACAAUUCAAUUGAACUAAUUUUGGCAUCGAAGGGUCUUUGGCCAACACCCUCGGGGUGUGGUCAUCAUAUUUGUUCUAUUUUGCAAAAAG